GGAAAUGCGAUUGGUUUUUAUCGGAUUCUGGCGUGGAAGAGAAAUUGUCCAAGCCAUGUCUCUGAAGUCACGAAGAGGCGAGGGAUGGCCUGGAUUGCCGCUAUGAGAAGACCGAAUAUAACGUUCGAAUACACUCCAGCUCACGUUAGUCUGCUCCAAGCAUUUCCACCAAGACAUGGCUGGUAAGGACACGAGGAGGAAACAGUAGGAGCUGUGUGAGGCUACUAAAGGCAGUGGAUCCCUCAGCAGCUGGAUUACAAAGAGCACAGUCUCAGAUCAACACAGCCCUGCCCUCCAGCACUAUCAGUAGCAGGAGCAGCAGCAACCCCUCAACAGCAACAUUGUACCCAUCAGGUAAAACAUAAGCUACGUUUGCUUUGCCUCACAACAGUCAUAUAGUAUGAUGCGAUCCCAUAUUAGAUUCUUGAUGAAUGUGUGUUGUUGUUAUUCAGCCUGGUUCAGUGUGCCCCUUUUUAGCUUUGAGCACCCGCCCCUAUAAACGUCUCUGCACAGCCCUGCCCCAGACGCCUUAACGCCCACUCACAUCCUGGGCCAUCUGACCUCAGGAACUCACAUGACAAGGUGGGGCCAGGUUUCACAAUGGGCUCACCCGAAACCCUGGCUGAUUAGGUACCACACCCGCUUUCACACCUUGGCUCAUGUGAUUAGAGGAUCACCAGGGGGUCCUUUGUCCCUCUUUGGGGGGAUACUCCCACUGGGUUUAAAUCUGGGACUCUCGGCCAUUUGACCUUAGAACUGAAGAAGCUUCUCGGAUGAGAGGUGAAACGUCUUCAAGCAACUCAAAGAAGUCCAGACGCUUUUCUUUGCAAAUUCCUUUGACUACGAUGACCUGGAUGACUGAGAACCUUCACAGACAUACUACUGUUACUCAUUUUAUAUUAAGAUUUUAAAAUCUAGUUGGUAUUGGUAUGGUGAAUAACCUUCAGUAAAAGUAAUAAAUCACACAGCAAUAGUACAUUCAUGUAGUUGUAAAAAGCAUGAUAAUAUAUUAAGUAAUCCAAAG
ensembl:lncRNA